rnacentral:rRNA from 1 species
UACGUAGGUGACCAGCGUUGUCCGGAUUUACUGGGCGUAAAGAGCGCGCAGGCGGUCGUUCAAGUCGAGUGUGAAAGCCCCCGGCUCAACUGGGGAGGGUCACUCGAUACUGAUGGACUUGAAGGCAGGAGAGGGAAGCGGAAUUCCCGGUGUAGUGGUGAAAUGCGUAGACAUCGGGAGGAACACCAGUGGCGAAGGCGGCUUCCUGGCCUGUUCUUGACGCUGAGGCGCGAAAGCUAGGGGAGCAAACGGG